rnacentral:rRNA from 1 species
UAACGGGGAAUCAGGGUUCGAUUCCGGAGAGGGAGCCUGAGAAACGGCUACCACAUCUAAGGAAGGCAGCAGGCACGCAAAUUACCCACUCCCAGCCCGGGGAGGUAGUGACGAAAAAUAACGAUGCGAGACUCUUCCGAGGCCCUCGCAAUCGGAAUGAGUCCAUCCUAAAUCUUUGGACGAGGAUCCAUUGGAGGGCAAGUCUGGUGCCAGCAGCCGCGGUAAUUCCAGCUCCAAUAGCGUAUAUUAAAGUUGCUGCGGUUAAAAAGCUCGUAGUUGGACUUUCUAGAUCCAUUUCGGGGGUGGGUCGCUCGUUGUA